AGUCACAUCACCUCCGCGAGUCCUCAUUGGUUGGUGGGCGGGGCUCAAAGGUGAGGACUCCAGCGGGAAUUCCUUGCCAACAGGAGGGGUAGGCCUCCUGUCCUCCUACAUGAAGAAAGCUGCCUGUUGCCCAGGGAGGAGAGAAAAAGAGGAAGGACAGAAGAAUGGAGGGAGAGGACUUUCCUGGUGGUCCAAUGGUUAAGAAUCGGCCUGCCAAUGCAGGAGACACAGGUUUGAACCGUGGUCCAGGAAGAUUACGCGCGCUGCGGAGCAAUAAAGCCCAUGCCCCACCACUACUGAGCCUUAGCUCUAGAGCUGGUGCUCUGCAGCAAGAGAAGACACCACAAUGGGAAGCCCGCACACCACAACGAGAGAGAAGACUCCGCUCGCCACAGCUAGAGAAAGCCUGUGCAGAGCAACAAAGACAGUGCAGCCAAAAAUAAACAAACAAUUUAAUUUGAGGGGGAAAAAAAGGGAAGGAGGAAGAAAGGAGACCUGUAUCUUGUGCUUUCUUUCAAAGCCCCUUUAUAUUUGUAUAAAGUAUCCGUGUUUAUUUUUUAAAUGUAAAUGACAGGUAACAUGCUCUAUACACUGUUCUAUCCUUGCCUUUUCUACUUGACAGUAGAUAUUGGUUUGUACCAGUUUAGUCUCCCACCAAUAAUGCAUGGAUGCUCCCCAUCCUUGCCAAUACACUAGUCUGUUUUCCAUCUUUGUUGAGUUUUGAAGGAUGAAAAAUGACAUCUCAUUGUAAUCUUCACUUGCAGUUCCCUCAUUAUGAGAUUGGGUAUCUUUUUAUCUGUACAAGAGCAAUGAAUUUUUCUUUAUCUUUGAUAUUUAUUGACAUCCCUUACCCAUUUAUCAGUGGGAUUUUUCAUUUUUUAUAUUGAUUUGUAGUGGUUCUUUCUAUAGAAAAAAAGUAGGCAUUUGUCUGCCAUGUCUGCAAAUAUCUUUUAGCAAUUUAUCAUUUGUUGCUUAAUCUUGUGCUUUUUUCCAGUGCAGGGAUAUAUUUUUAAGUAGUUGAUUUAACUAGUCUUUUGUUGAAUAAAGCUUCAUAAGCACACAGUUCUCCC
ensembl:lncRNA